AGAUUGUUUGUAUUAUCUAUUUAUUUUUCCUUUCCACACUAGUCGGACUGGCCAGAGGGCUUCAACCUGGCUACUUCAUUGAACUUCUGCUUACCAAAGUGCGUCUCCACUAGCCUUAGAUGUCUGGUGCCCAAUGCCUGCCAUGAAGGCAUCACUCUCAUGAAGAACAUGCUGCAAUGGGACCCUUGCAAAAGGCCAUCUGCUAGCCAGGUACCUGGAGAAGCACCAGGCCCAUGCUAAGGCCCGAAAGCCUCUGUCUCUCUGUGAGGACCAUCUCCAUCUACCAGCACUCUGUGAGAAGCAGACCCACCCGGCCCAGGACUGGUUAACCCUUCUGACCGGCAAGGACCACGGCUGUCCCACGGCUGCCCAGUCCUCACCGCCGCAGCUUCAACCGCUAAGCCUGGGAACAACCAGCCAAUCAGUAUGGAAGAAGCAGAGGAAUGGACCCAGAAGCGGGUGCAGGCUUCGAGGAGGGACAUCGGUCCAAGCCACUGAAGGCUGUGAUGACACUGAGGAUGCAGCUUCCAACUCUAAAACACCCAGCCUCUAUCACUGUACACAGAGGCCACUCAGCGACUGCAACUUCCAAUCAGCAGAGACGAAGCAUCAGAGUGAAAACAGCUGUGUAACCCAACCACCAAAAAGCAGCAGUCCAAACAGAGCGGACUUCAUCAUCUCCUCGGCCAAGCAGCACUACCUUCGCCAU